UAUGUGCCAUCAACAAAACCGAUUUUGUUUUUGGCUGAUAAGGCAACAAUCAUUUUACGUCUCCAGCCCCCAUAACCACUACCCAAGAAGGGAGUGGGAACAAGGGAGACCCAAGGAACAUCAGAAGAAUAUACAAAAAGGGGACUAGAAGAGUCUACAUAAGAGGAGGCACCAGUAUUUGUGUUAGAAGCCAUGGUCAAUGAACCGGCUUAAACGAACAACUUUUCAACAGGCAGAGUAUAACCAAAAACAGGUAUUCACACACAAUAACCAGCAAACAAAGUAUAACCAAAAACCAAAUCAGGUAUUCACAGAUAACACCAGAUGCUCACAUACACAGAGUCAGAUAAUCACAUAUAAUACCGAAGAUAAGGACAGAGUUACCCUCCUUCUUCGCCGAUUUUGUUUUUGGCUGAUAAGGCAACAAUCAUUUUACGUCUCCAGCCCCCAUAACCACUACCCAAGAAGGGAGUGGGAACAAGGGAGACCCAAGGAACAUCAGAAGAAUAUACAAAAAGGGGACUAGAAGAGUCUACAUAAGAGGAGGCACCAGUAUUUGUGUUAGAAGCCAUGGUCAAUGAACCGGCUUAAACGAACAACUUUUCAACAGACAGAGUAUAACCAAAAACAGGCACACAAUAACCAGCAAAUAGAGUAUAACCAAAACCCAAAUCAGGUAUUCACAGACAACACCAGAUGCUCACAUACACUGAGUCAGAUAAUCACAUAUAAUACCGAAAAUAAGGACAGAGUUACCCUCCUUCUUCGCGACCGGAGAAGAUCGGCCUUCAAACAAUAGAGAAACCCUAGGUAUCAAACUCUAGGCGUAACCUUGGAAAUCCUUACUGGAAAUCUGAUCAGGAACGUCGGAGAGGAACCCAAAACGUCCACUGAGUGCGAAUCGAACCACCGGAUGGCAGUAAAACUUUAGGAUAAACCACCAGAAACCCUAGAAGGCGAUAGGUCACCCAAAAAUAAACCAAAAUUCAUCAUAAAAUCUUCCAGAACAUUCAGGAGAAGAAAAUACACUCCGAUAUCACGACGAUAGACUCAGAAAGGUGUCCGAUAGAUCGGAAUCUUCAUCGACCGUGAGGUCUCAGAAAACACCCCUAAAACCUCGAAAACAAACUUCGUCCAAGACAACGAAGUACAUAGAAACAUAGUCGGAUCGUCGUCGAGGCUCUGAUACCAUGUGAACAUUCAUAUUAGACCGAGAAAUCAUAGAAAAUAUAGAGAGAGAAAGUAGAGAGAAGGCAGAGCGUUUUGGAAUUCUCUGGAAGACGAGAGAAGUGUAUUACAG
rnacentral:lncRNA from 1 species